rnacentral:lncRNA from 1 species
GUAUCGACCCUUACGAGGAAGGCACCUCGGUGGCCUAUACUACAUGACCAUCGGUCUAGGCUAGCCAUAGUUUUAAAGGUUCUAAAAGGGGUCUUAGGGUCAUUGACUCUAGUAAAAGAAAAGAUGCUUACGCCGAAAGCACGACGAUCAUCAGUCCCCUUAAGAGAAUCUACCACUAAGUGAGGUUCUCGUACGACCCUAACGAGGAAGGCACCUUGCAGAUCAAUACU